GACGAACGCUGGCGGCGUGCUUAACACAUGCAAGUCGUACGGUAAGGCCCUUUCGGGUGUACACGAGUGGCGAACGGGUGAGUAACACGUGAGUAACCUGCCCACUACUCUGGGAUAACGCGAGGAAACUGGGGCUAAUACUGCAUAUGUGCUCCUGCUGCAUGGUGGGGGUGGGAAAGCUCGGGGGGUUGUGGGUGGACUGGCGGCCUAUUGGCUUGUUGGUGGGGUAGUGGCCUACCAAGGCGGCGAGGGGUAGCCGGCCUGAGGGGGUGACAGGCCAAAUUGGGACUGAGAUACGGCCCAGGCGCCUAAGAGAGGCAGCAGGGGGGAAUAUUGCACCAUGGGCGCAAGCCUGAUGCAGCAACGCCGCGUGCGGGAUGACGGCCUUCGGGUUGUAAACCGCUUUCAGCAGGGACGAAGCUUUUUGUGACGGUACCUGCAGAAGAAGCACCGGCUAACUACGUG
rnacentral:rRNA from 1 species